GUGCUCAUUUCAGCAGUACAUGUAUUAAAAUUGCAACAAUACAGAGAAGAUCAACAUGGCCCCUGCCAAGGAUGACAUGCAAACUAAUGAGCAUUCCAUGAUUUUU